UUAAGUUGGGGACGUCGAGCGAGACUGCCAGUGAUAAACUGGAGGAAGGUGGGGAUGACGUCAAAUCAUCAUGCCCCUUAUGACCUGGGCUACAAACGUGAUACAAUGGCUGAAACAAAGGGCAGCGAAGCAGUGAUGUGGAGCGAACCCAAAAAAGCAGUCUCAGUUCGGAUUGAAGUCUGCAACUCGACUUCAUGAAGUUGGAAUCGCUAGUAGUCGUAGAUCAGAACGCUACGGUGAAUACGUUCUCGGGGUUU
rnacentral:rRNA from 1 species